GCUGGGCAUGGUGAUGUAUGUCUAUAGUCUCAGCUAUUGGGGAGGCUGAGGCAGCAGGAUCAUUUGAACUCAGGAGUUCUGGGCUGGAGUGCACUUAGCCAGGCAGGUGACCUCACUAAGCUCAGCAUCAAUAUGGGUGACCUCCUGGGAGUGAGACAUCAUCAGCUUGCUCAAGGAGGAGUGAACCAUCCCAGGUAGGAAACAGAGUAGGACAAAACUCCUGUGCUGAUCAGUAUUGAGAUCGUGCCUGUGAAUAACCAACGAACUCUAGCCUGGGCAACAUAGGCUCUUAU
rnacentral:SRP_RNA from 1 species